rnacentral:rRNA from 1 species
UGGGGAAUUUUGGACAAUGGGCGAAAGCCUGAUCCAGCAAUGCCGCGUGUGUGAAGAAGGCCUUCGGGUUGUAAAGCACUUUUGUCCGGAAAGAAAUCCUUGGCUCUAAUACAGUCGGGGGAUGACGGUACCGGAAGAAUAAGCACCGGCUAACUACGUGCCAGCAGCCGCGGUAAUACGUAGGGUGCAAGCGUUAAUCGGAAUUACUGGGCGUAAAGCGUGCGCAGGCGGUUUGCUAAGACCGAUGUGAAAUCCCCGGGCUCAACCUGGGAACUGCAUUGGUGACUGGCAGGCUAGAGUAUGGCAGAGGGGGGUAGAAUUCCACGUGUAGCAGUGAAAUGCGUAGAGAUGUGGAGGAAUACCGAUGGCGAAGGCAGCCCCUGGGCCAAUACUGACGCUCAUGCACGAAAGCGUGGGGAGCAAA